GACGAACGCUGGCGGCGUGCUUAACACAUGCAAGUCGAGCGGUAAGGCCCUUCGGGGUACACGAGCGGCGAACGGGUGAGUAACACGUGGGUGACCUGCCCUUUCACUCUGGGAUAAGCCUGGGAAACUGGGUCUAAUACCGGAUAUGACCUGCCCUCGCAUGGGGGUUGGUGGAAAGUCAGUAUUGUAGUGAUGCUGGCGGUGGGGGAU
rnacentral:rRNA from 1 species